GUAUUUGAGUGAUUACAUCAGUUUAGCAUUUUAUUUAUAAAAUGGUCGAUUAUAAAACAUGUCGAUAAUACUCGACGGUCCUCUAUUUAGUUUAUCUUUGUGGAGUGUGUUAAAGAAUUUAUGUUGGUCUUAAUAGACAUAGCUAGACAAAUAUUGUACCUUACCAUUAAUAAGUUUUGUUUUGAAUGUGUUGUGUUAAGGCAUGCGAUAGUGCAACAUGCACCAAAAGGAUCAAGAAAUUGCUGACUGUAAAAGGAAGAUUGAGCAUUGUGAAAGAGAGGCUAGAUCUCUGCUGGAGAAAGAAGCACGCGAUUUUGAAGACAUUACACUCCAUUGAACAGGAAACCAAUUGGAAUGUUGCAAAAAUUUUCGCUGGAUGUAUAGGGAUCGUUGUAGGCACUGUUCUGAGCCAAGUUUCAUAUGGCGCCAGUUUUGUAUUAACACUUGCUGGUUGGACAUAUGCUGGGACGAAUCUGAGCAGCGCUGUUAAAUGUAUGCGAGCAGCGAAAGUCGCGAGAAAUAAUGCCGACGAGAAGCGGGCCGAAGCUGCGAAGCUUCAUUCAAGGCUGACGAAGCUUUUAAAUUGAAUAAUAUGUAAGAACAGAUUUCGAUGUCGACGUUAAAACGUUGCGAAGAAUACUGAAAACUCUAUACUUAAGAGAUGUUCUCCAAAAUACUUCCUAAAUUUCAUUUGUUUACUGUUAGUCAUAUUCUUGUGUUAUUAUUUAGAUCUAGUUAUAAUUUUAUGGUGGCAAGUAAUAUGUUUAAUGACUAAUUACGAAUCAGAGUCUGAAAGUAUUGACCGUUUUCGUUUGCUUGUCCAUUAUUCCAUUCAUGUUAUAAUUUAGAAUUACUCUCAUAAUAUUUAAAUUGUGUGGCCUAAUUGAUUAAUAACUUCUGUUUGUUUGUAGUGAUUUGCAUUGAUAAAAUUAUGAUUUGAACAAUCAAUGCAUACUUCCUGUUGUUUGUUUAUAAAAUGAGUUAACAAACAGACGAACAAAUACUAAUCAUUUAAGAAAUAACGCAAUGAAAUAAUCAAUUGAUUUGUUUGUUUAUUUAGAAAGUAUACGUUUUAAGAUGCUUGAUGGUAAGGUGAAUAUAAAUUAGGCCAAAACGUUAUUUGCAAUCUCAGAAUCGACAAAUUGUUGAAUAGUAUAAUACUAACUCAAAUACUAUCCGACCUCAGACAAAAUAAAAUGGACUUGAACUGUUCGCUGUAUGAUUCGAUAAUAGUAAUUUUUCGCCGUUUAUACUAGAUUUAAUAAAAGGCUUAUGAUUUGGAA